GAUGAACGCUGGCGGCGUGCCUAAUACAUGCAAGUCGAGCGAACAGACGAGGAGCUUGCUCCUCUGACGUUAGCGGCGGACGGGUGAGUAACACGUGGAUAACCUACCUAUAAGACUGGGAUAACUUCGGGAAACCGGAGCUAAUACCGGAUAAUAUAUUGAACCGCAUGGUUCAAUAGUGAAAGACGGUUUUGCUGUCACUUAUAGAUGGAUCCGCGCCGCAUUAGCUAGUUGGUAAGGUAACGGCUUACCAAGGCGACGAUGCGUAGCCGACCUGAGAGGGUGAUCGGCCACACUGGAGCUGAGACACGGUCCAGACUCCUACGGGAGGCAGCAGUAGGGAAUCUUCCGCAAUGGGCGAAAGCCUGACGGAGCAACGCCGCGUGAGUGAUGAAGGUCUUCGGAUCGUAAAACUCUGUUAUUAGGGAAGAACAAAUGUGUAAGUAACUAUGCACGUCUUGACGGUACCUAAUCAGAAAGCCACGGCUAACUACAUG
rnacentral:rRNA from 1 species